rnacentral:rRNA from 1 species
AUUGAACGCUGGCGGCAUGCCUUACACAUGCAAGUCGAACGGUAACAGGUCUUCGGAUGCUGACGAGUGGCGAACGGGUGAGUAAUACAUCGGAACGUGCCUAGUAGUGGGGGAUAACUACUCGAAAGAGUGGCUAAUACCGCAUGAGAUCUACGGAUGAAAGCAGGGGAUCGCAAGACCUUGUGCUACUAGAGCGGCCGAUGGCAGAUUAGGUAGUUGGUGGGAUAAAAGCUUACCAAGCCGACGAUCUGUAGCUGGUCUGAGAGGACGAUCAGCCACACUGGGACUGAGACACGGCCCAGACUCCUACGGGAGGCAGCAGUGGGGAAUUUUGGGCAAUGGGCGCAAGCCUGAUCCAGCAAUGCCGCGUGCAGGAUGAAGGCCUUCGGGUUGUAAACUGCUUUUGUACGGAACGAAAAGCCCCGGGUUAAUACCCUGGGGUCAUGACGGUACCGUAAGAAUAAGCACCGGCUAACUACGUGCUAGCAGCCGCCGCGG